CCCGUCAGUCUCUCUCUUUUUUUCCCAAUUCAAUUUCUGGAAACCCUAACAAAAACCGGCGUCUCCCUUUCCCGUCACCAUCGUCGGCCACCGCCGUUUCCAGCCGGCGCCGCGACUGGACAGCCGUCUACCUCGCUGCCUCGGUGUCAUCGGAGCAGAGAAGGGCGUCGCCCCUUUCGGGAAACCGCCGUUCACAUCACCCGUUUUCCCUUCCUCCAUUCAUCUCCCUUUCUCUCCUGAGGACCCGUCGCCGCCACCGUGGGGAUUCGGCCAUCGAGCUUGCCUUGGAGCUGUCAUCCGUCGUUAUCCGGGGUGCAGGUGCCGGUAGCGGCUCCACCGCCUCUCACCCGCAACAGAAAAGGAGCCCUUGUUUGGUUGUGUAACUGAAAGCUGCCGGGCUGUUGCUUUGUGCCAGGCAAGGAGAUCUCUAGUUUGCUUAUACAUUGGCAGAUCUCCUGCAAUAAUGCAGUGCUUGUGUUGCUGAGACUCACGGCCGUUGGCAGGUGGAAAGGCUGCCUUGUGUGGUCCCGUGGCAGCCUUUACCUAGGCUGGAGUGUGCAGGAGGUUGCAGGGGUUGUUGGAGCUGGAGUGCAGAGUUGCUGCAGUUGUGCUGCAGCUUUCCUCUCCUUUUUUCUGGCUCGUGGCAGCCCGUGGUACUGGCUGGGAGAGCAGGCUGCUGUAUUUCCCCCUUUUGGGCAAGUUCUUGAUCCUUCAACUAAGGGACAAGGGGCUGACCUCGUCUAGGUGCCCUUCCCAUCGAUUCGGCCCUACGGGCCGUCGGAAUCUGGGCCGAAGCCUCGUUAGGAAAAAGAACCCGAAGCUAGUUGUGAUCCGUUGAAAAGAGAUGGGGUUUCUACUUGUAAUUCUCUCUUUUCUUUAACAUGUAAUAGUUAAUUGGUGUAUUAUUUUUUUCAAGCAUUUGUAAAUUAUUAGCUUGAAAUUCUAUGUACUGUAUUUCUUUUAUUCAAGAAAUAAACGAAUACUCCUCCA